rnacentral:lncRNA from 1 species
UUGGUCUAGUUACAUGCAGCCAUGUCUGAGCUAAAUAACCAGCCUUCCUCCUCCAAUUCUUUUUCCCAAUACAUUUCCCAGCACAGCUUCCAUAUGUAUCUUCUCUGAUUUUCAUCUGAGUUUGAUCUCAAAGAUGCUCACCCCUAGAAGAAUCUAAAGCCACUCUUUCAAAAUUAGUGGAUGGGUCCACCUGAGUGUUUUCAUUUCCAGAUUGCCAGAUGUCUCUUCGUUUUUUUCUUUUUCUUUUCUUUUUUUAAAACUUUUUUUAAAAAAGCUGAUUUACAAUUUUGUGCCAAUUUCUGCUGUACAGCAAGGCAGCCCAGUCCUACCUAGAUAUGCAUUCUUUUAGAGAUGGCUCUUCUGGAAGGGCAAAGUAGCAUAAAUGAACAUUUCUAUGCCUAUGGUUAUUCAGGACAGCAUGUUCCUCCAGAGAGAAACCAAACUUGUUCAAGGGAAGAGGAAGUAGAGAAAGACAUGGUAUUCACUUGAGUUUCCAUUAAUGGAUUCCCAAGGAGCCGUGAGGUAACACACAACAAAGGAGUGUAAGGGAUGAAUCUGUGCUGGAAAUUGCUUAGGAGGCUCAAACCAGACCAAUUUGUUAUGAGGCCAUUUAGGAGCUGUCUCCCAAGGAGGUUUGAUCAUCACUUUCCCUUGUUUUUCGGCAGCGAGGGGGCCCCACUGCCCAAAGGAAAGCAUCAGUCAGACAACUGUCUUUGAGGGAUAAAGACACGAGGGAGAGUCUUUUCAGGCCAGGCUGUUUCCUCAGAAGCCUAAGUGGCCAUUCUGAUGACUCAUGAGAGGGGAUUCAGAUUCUCAAGGGUGAGAGUUGUGGUGAGGAGGAGGAGGGUGCUGAUGGUGAAGGGGAGGGAAGUUAUGAUGAUGAUGGUGGGGAUAAUGAUGCUGAAGAUAACAGUGAUGGUGAAGGCGGUGAUGAUGUUGAUGGUGGAAGUGAUGGUCAUGAUGGUGGAGUGACUGAUGAUGAUGGUGGAAGUGAUGGUCAUGAUGGUGGAGAUGACGGUAAAGAUGGUGGAGGUGACGAUGAUGAUGGUGGAAGUGACGGUAAAGAUGGUGGAGGUGACUGUGAUGAUGGUGGAAGUGAUGGUCAUGAUGGUGGAGGUGAUGGUCAUGAUGGAGAUGACGGUAAAAUGGUGGAGGUGACUGUGAUGAUAGUGGAGGUGACAGUGAUGAUGGUGAUGUUGGUGAUGGUGGAGGUGAUGGUCAUGAUGGUGGAGAUGACGGUAAAGAUGGUGGAUGUGACUGUGAUGAUGGUGGAAGUGACGGUAAAGAUGGUGGAGGUGACUGUGAUGAUGGUGGAAGUGAUGGUCAUGAUGGUGGAGAUGAUGGUUAAGAUGGUGGAUGUGACUGUGAUGAUGGUGGAAGUGACGGUAAAGAUGGUGGAGGUGACUGUGAUGAUGGUGGAAGUGAUGGUCAUGAUGGUGGAGGUGAUGGCCAUGAUGGAGAUGACGGUAAAAUGGUGGAGGUGACUGUGAUGAUAGUGGAGGUGACAGUGAUGAUGGUGAUACUGGUGAUGGUGGAGGUGACGGUGAUGAUGGUGGUGUUGGUGAUGAUGGUGGUGUCGGUGAUGAUGGGAUGAAGGUAAUGGUGAUGACCUUCAUGAUGCUUUUUGCUAAUAAGCUGUCAGGCUCCUAUCACGUAGACAAUAAGAUCGUGCACACGUGAGCUUUGGGUUAUCUUGCGAGAUCUUCCUUUUUGGUCUUAUUAAAUGUGGCUUAAGGAAAACAUCCAAAGUCUGUUUUAGACACUGUGUGGGAAUGACCAAGGCUUGUCCCAGAAUUUCUACCCAAGAUUUUGGAAGGGAGGAUGGGGCAGAGCUGUUGGUCUUUUGUCCACUCAUUUGUUUGACCUAUGGGUAGUGUGGUCAUUCUUGAAAUCAGUACUGCACAUGAAACCAUAUAUAUUAAAAAUAAAGAAGCAGGUUGUGAUGGAAUGUGAUGGAAG